ACGUAGGGGGCAAGCGUUAUCCGGAUUUACUGGGUGUAAAGGGAGCGCAGACGGUUAUGCAAGUCUGGAGUGAAACCCCACAGCUCAACUGUGGGCUUGCUUUGGAAACUGUGUAACUAGAGUACUGGAGAGGUAAGCGGAAUUCCUAGUGUAGCGGUGAAAUGCGUAGAUAUUAGGAGGAACACCGGUGGCGAAGGCGGCUUACUGGACAGCAACUGACGUUGAGGCUCGAAGGCGUGGGGAGCAAACAG
rnacentral:rRNA from 1 species